UCUUUUCCUUUUUUUCCCUCCUCCGCUUUAAUACGGAGGAUGCGAGCGUUAUCCGGAUUUAUUGGGUUUAAAGGGAGCGCAGACGGGAGAUUAAGUCAGUUGUGAAAGUUUGCGGCUCAACCGUAAAAUUGCAGUUGAUACUGGUUUCCUUGAGUGCAGUUGAGGCAGGCGGAAUUCGUGGUGUAGCGGUGAAAUGCUUAGAUAUCACGAAGAACCCCGAUUGCGAAGGCAGCUUGCUAAACUGUAACUGACGUUCAUGCUCGAAAGUGUGGGUAUCAAACAGG
rnacentral:rRNA from 1 species